UUCCGUCUGACAACAGCAUACUCACGUUACUCCAGGACUGGAGAGUCACUACGAGCUGUGUGUGGAAGCUAGGCUAACUAGCUGAGCAAACUUAGCGCCCUUGGAAGCGGAAGGAGUUUUCACGGUGUCAAAAUUGUGAGGAGAAAAGGAGGAGAGAAUUAAAGUUGCACCAGUCGAAGCUCUCUGCAUCUUGUGUCAUUAAUCCAAGUGGGCCGCUACAGUGAAAACUCCCCGGCUGCAACCAGUGACAACUUCUGGCUGCAACAGACCGGCCAUCCCUGCAGAGAAGCUGACGCCAUCUCAUCCGAGAUCCAGCUACCAACCUGUUACCAGCCAACUGACUCCAUUUGCACCCACAUCCUGCACAGGCAAGAUUAAAAGGACAGCACGCUAAAGGUACAACAUUGGGUGCCAAGGAGCAAAGGAGACUAUUUACACACACGUUACAAGCUUACAGCGUAUCUGAAGUGUCUUAAAUACUAACAUCAUAUUUUGAGGUCAAAAUAAUUUGUGAGCAACACGUAGCAAUUCUGAAAUGGGUGAAUGUUUUAAGACAAUUGGUAUAU